UACGUAGGGUGCGAGCGUUAAUCGGAAUUACUGGGCGUAAAGCGUGCGCAGGCGGUGAGCUGUGUCCGAUGUGAAAGCCCCGGGCUUAACCUGGGAAUGGCAUUGGAAACUGGCUCGCUGGAGUGUGGCAGAGGGGGGUGGAAUUCCGCGUGUAGCAGGUGAAAUGCGUAGAGAUGCGGAGGAACACCGAUGGCGAAGGCAGCCCCCUGGGCUAACACUGACGCUCAGGCACGGAAAGCGUGGGGAGCAAACAGG
rnacentral:rRNA from 1 species